UUGUGGAAUGCUCUACCCGGACUCUGCCAGUCCGAGCUCUCUCAGCCUGGAGCUGAGACGCUACUGUGUCAGUGUGAGGAGCUCCGACCCACUGUUGCAGUGCACAGGGUGCGGGGGGCAGCAGAAACCUCAAAUAAAACUCGAGUCCGGCACCAGGACAGGAAGUUACAGGUUUAUUUAUUUCAUCAUGACAAAUGUAAAUGAAACAAUGUGUGAGCUGCUGACGUGCGGGAAUAAAUAAGCUGCUCCCGACUCACUCACAGUCACACACAAUUAACUGACCGGCGACAAGGAGUGACCGGUUGAAUAAUCAGUCCCGUUUCUCAUCGUCACUCUGCAUCGGGGAACCGAUGAUUAUAAAAUCACACUUCAGGGCCGUGUCCAGGAUCGCUGCAGAUCCAGGGUCACUGCCGAGGGAUUUGUCCAUUUAACCUCAUUAUAUCGGCCAGGCUGCCGAAUGCACCGUCCUCAGCAAAGGGGGCAAAAGGAUUCUCUCCCGGGAUCACCCCGGGACACCGGUGUCCCAGACUGAGCCCCGGACCCCCGGGCUCUUCCUGUCCGGGUAAUUCCCCGGGGAGUCACGUCGGGAGUCUCGUAACGCACUUCCGGCGGAAGCUGUCCCGCCGGACAACAGGCGGAAACACGUUACUGCGGGACCGCUCCGAGCGACGCACACAGCGCGAGGCCCGAGCCGGGUCCGUUAAAACCGUUGGGAAUCAGCCCCGGCGCGCGGCCGUUAAAGCACGACUGGGCAGGUCGGCCAGUGGGAACAGCGAGAAGAGUUUAAAAGGAAGACAGAUUUACAGAGCGAGCGUCAGAGGAGCGGGAGACAGAGUAGGAAGGCUUUGGCUCAACGGGGCUUCGGCGAUAAAGGGUCGAGGCGAGGAUGAAGGACAAUGAUGAUCAAGCUUGUAGCGAUUUACUAAACCCGUGUUCAGGGGCACUGAGGGGUUUCAUUGACCGGGUGUGGACUGGAGCAAUAUUUACAGAGGUCCCAGAAACUAUUCUGUCCAGCUUUGGGACACCAAUCCGCAUUUUCACAAAGGUUUCCCACAUCACCCUCCGGGCGCGGGAGCCUUUCUCCAUCACCAGGCUCAGGAGGAGUUUAGAACUGUCCGCCCGCUCUCCCUUAUCAGCGAG